UACGUAGGUGGCAAGCGUUGUCCGGAUUUACUGGGCGUAAAGAGCGCGCAGGCGGUCGACCAAGUCGCGUGUGAAAGCCCCCGGCUCAACUGGGGGGGGUCACGCGAUACUGAUCGACUCGAAGGCAGGAGAGGGUAGUGGAAUUCCCGGUGUAGUGGUGAAAUGCGUAGAUAUCGGGAGGAACACCAGUGGCGAAGGCGACUACCUGGCCUGUUCUUGACGCUGAGGCGCGAAAGCUAGGGGAGCAAACGGG
rnacentral:rRNA from 1 species